rnacentral:tmRNA from 1 species
AUUCUCUGACACUUUCUCUGGGGAGUCGUUAGGGGGUGGCAACAAACUCAGAGUGCAGACUUGAAAUUGGCCAUUUCAAGUUGAAGCCAUUUAGGCCGCCUAACAAAUAUUUAUUUUGUCCGUUGUUGGUAUUUGUUAGUAGCACAACGGACUAAGCUUGUAGAAGGUUUGGCAAGAACAAAGCGGACGAGGGUGCAAUUCCCUCCAUCUCCACCA